CUGCAAGAGCAGAGAGAGAGAGAGAGAGAGAGAGAGAGAGAGAGCUCACGUCACUCCCGGGGAUCACACACCCUUUUGGGAUUGCACAGUGAGGACCUGACUGAAGCCAGGUGUGGUGAUCAAACUGAAGCUAGGUUCAGUAGAACUCCGUUCAGAGACAGAGCUGAUUUUACAGAAGCUCAGAGCCCAGAGGGAAAACAGACAUGUCAGGCAGUGUCAUCAGAAGAAACACCAGCAAGCAGGGACUGCACAACCUCCUGAGACUGACGGCGCAACGCAGCAUAGAUGAUGCAGAGGAGAGCGAGCGAGAGCGCCGCAGGAGGGCGAGGGAGGCGGCACGCGCCCGUGGUGGGGGAACAGACUGUGGGGGGGCCCUGCAGGACAGUGUGCCUCAACCCGAGAGCAGUACGCCCCAAUCUGUGCCCCAUUCUGAGAACAGUGAACCCCGAUUCAAAGACAGCGUGCCCCAAUCUGAGGACCGAGCACCCGCAAACAAAGAGAGAGCACUGGACGCUGGUUUAAAGCCCGGCUGCCAGGCAACUCUGGAGGAGGACGAGGGCUUCAGCAACCGGACCCUGAAACCGGGGGGAAGCCAUCAGCAUCACCCAGGGCAACGGAGCCCUGAAGGAGCCCCCAGUGCUGAUGGGAGCCUCCUCUUCCCAGCACACCUGACUUCUAAACCGCAAGAAGAAGAGGAGGAGAACAGGGAUGAGUAUGCGAUGAAGGAGAGAGAGAGGAGUGGGGAGCAGGACCAGGGGGAGAGGGAAGAAGUCGAGGAGGAGGAACGGACAGAUUCAAAGAAGGCAGAGCUGGACACACAAAAAACAGAGGAAAAGGGUGAGGACAAACAGACAAAGGUAACAUAUGUGUCCAGCAUCUUUCUGCACCAGGAAAAGAGACGCAUAAUCUCCAAUGGAGAUGCAGCAGGAGAGGAAAUGACAUCAUGCACAGUUACGACUAAAAGGACACAAAGCAUUGCAUGAAACUGACACAGACAUGGGAGGGUUUCUGUCUUAGCUUUGGAGGGCUUCUAACAUCAUCAUCUGGCAUCAAAUCAGGAGCCGCAGUGUGCUGGAGGAGGUAGAGAAUGAUACAAACAAGGUGGAGGUGAAGAGGGAGAUGAUGUGGAGCAGCCAGAGGGGGAAGGGGAGA